CGUCCAGCCAAAUAUAUCCAUGAAAAAAUAAUUUACAAGCACAACCGGUGCCACACCCCGAGCAAGCAGCAGAACUCGCACUGCAACAGAAGUGCCCGGUAACAAGUGCAUUCAGUGAAAACUCUGCCUAAUUCCUGUUUUACAUGACUGUAAACAUCACCUCACCGCGCCGCUACCAUAAAUGGUCCGCGGCAGCACAGAUAAAGCCGUCACCGCUGUUAUAUCGGUAUCACUUUUCUCCCGUGACUGAUACAUGGCAAGAUCAAGGGCUGCAGACAGAUGAAGACCACAAAUGUUCCAGCUGACCUCACUUUCCAAAAUGCAUCAUUCCUCCAAAUAAACAUCAUCAAACAUAAGCAGGCUGUCAAAUUACAGAAUUAAAACAUAAUCCUGCAUUACUCAAGUGACUCGUUGCUUAUUAGCAGGUCUACUGACUCCAGGAAACUAUUUACAUGAAUAAAGAUUUCUGGGGUUGUGCUUUUGCAACAUAUUCCAAAGCCAGCCCGUAAAGUAAAUAGUCUGAUUAACUGACUCCUAGUUUAGGCGGCUGUUUUACCGUGACAGAGAGAAGUUUUAUCUUAAUGGAGAAUAUCUCACACUCCCCCUCAAACGGCAGCACACGGGAGCGGAGCCUGGUUUAACUCCGGCGAGCCCUGAAUCACAUCCGAGCCUAUUUUAGAAUUAAACGGAAGAUGACCUCGUUACCUGGGUCCCUCCAACCUCGCCUGGAAAGCACUUGAGGACGGAGCCAGGGUUUGCUAUCAGCAGCUAAAGCCCAACGAUGUUAAAAACAAAACCCAAACUGAACAAAAACCCCCUUUUGUCGCAUUGGUGUAAGGUCCUGUUGCUAAUCUGUCUGUGGCACAAAUCCCUCCUGAGAAGCAGUUUUACCCGAGUCAACUUGCACGUGGCUUGAAAAUGUUCACGUACACCCUCCCUUAGGAGUUUAAUACAUCAGGAACUUAUCCAUAUGUUUUCCUACUUUUUAAAAGCAGAUAUCCUUAUUUUCCCCUCCACCAUGAGACAUCAUUAAUGAAAUACCAGUUAAAAAUAUCUUCCAAAGAUUUAAAUUACCCCAUUAGAGACUCUCCUCCUAAAAUGAACAACAGAAAAGGCACGUAUUAAUUAUUUGAGUUAUGAAAACAGAUCAAACCAUUAUAAGGAAAAAACCAUUUCCUUCUUUAGCAAAGAGCAUGUUUUCCUAUAAAUGUGUUUAUUCAGAGAUGCAAAUAUUCUAAUAAAAUUUUUCCAAAGGUUAAAAAACUAA